ACCCAUUCUGUCGUCUUUGACGACGACGACGAGUCGUCCGCCUGCUUCUUCUUUUCAGUGCCGCCGCCGGAAGCAGCAGCAGCACCGGUCGGCGACACUGGCGCCGGUGCCGGACUGUCAGCCUCGCCGUCUUCCGCUGCCAUGCGGUACUGCGUCCUAAUCUCCUCCAGCCGCGACAAGGCCAACCCCAUAUUGCUUCCCGAUAUCGUCGUCGAUCGAUGUGCUGUGCAACAACG
rnacentral:lncRNA from 1 species